CCUAUCAGGGGACUCUGACCCCAUGUAUCUGCUCACAGAGCUCUCUUGCUGUGGCAUGCUGUGAAGGGAUGUACCCCUGCUGGCUGAGUGUCCUGACAGGACACUUUCCUGAGACUUGUCCUGAUCUUGGUGUCCUUACUGUUCCUCUAGAGGUGGAAGGUCCCUGAACCCUGGGGCCAUUCUCUUCUGGCGACCUCCCUCCCCCAGACCCCCUUGUCCCAUUUCCACCUCCAUGUCUCCAAGUCCCCAGACCAAUGCUCUGCUCGCUGUGCUUCAGGCAGCCCUCCAGCGGGGACGAGCUGAAGACAGAAUGCUAUGCCUGAGCCGUCCCCAGAAUCCUUCCCACACCCCACAGCCCUGCUUGCAGCCCGAGUGCCCCACUUCCUUGCCUUCACCCCUCUCUUCUCCUCAGACUCUUAGAACCCAGCUUUAAUGAUGAGCUAUGUCUAUUUUGAAGGGUCUCCCUGUUCUGUGAAGUUUACUGGGGGUCUGUCUGUCUUCAGAUUGCUGAGUGCCUGGCAAGCCCUGUCCCUGUCACCUGUCCGUAUCUCGAGAUCCUGACCCCACAUAUCUAUCUGCUCAGGAGGCUUUCCUGUGGUGGUGAAGGUAUUUACCUUUGUUGCCUGAGUGUCCUGAGACCUUUCUUGUGCUGAGGUCCUGACUGUCCCUGUGGAGGUGGAAUGUCCCAGGACCCAGGGCCCACCUCUGCUCUGAUGUCCACCCUUCUUCCUUGACCCCUUGUCCCACUUCCUCCUUCACGUCUCCAGGUUCCCAGACCAAGGCUCUCCUCACUGAGCUUCAGACAGUCCUCUGCCUGGGACCCCCUGAGGAGGAACCCGGUGCCUGAGCCAUCCCCAGAAUCCUUCCCACACCCCACGUUCCCUCUGGCAGCAUGAACCCCCAGUCACUUGCCCUUCACCCUCAAUUCUCAUCAGACUCUUGGAGCCCAGAGACCCUGAGUGGAGAGCUGACCAUCCUGAGUCCGUCCAGAGGAUUAGGUUCCCAUAGGGAGAGAGCUGGAGCCACGGUGAGGCCUGAGUUCAGGUCUCCUGAGAUCAGGAAGGGCUCAUGGGAAUGGUCCCCUGUAGCCCUGACCACCAUCUGACAAGAUGGGACCGGUUAGAGGUGAUGAGGGGCAGACAAAAGAGGCAAAACUUACAGACGCCACGGACCGUUGGCCUGAUCCCAGGUCACAAAAGAAAGCAGAGAAAAAUAGCCCCAAAUUGCAUACUGGAUCCGAAAGAGGAUGGAAAGUGGGAGACUUACCGAGGACGGUCAGAUGGGUCCCUCCGCCGAAUAGAAUACACUCUCUGCCACUGCUGUACCACGAUGAGCAGUAAUAAUCAGCCUCGUCCUCGGCCUGGAGGCCAGUGAUGGUCAGGGUGCCUGUGCUGCCAGACUUGGAGCCGGAGAAUCGAUCAGGGACCCCGGAGGGUCGGUUGCUAUUACUAUAGAUGAUGGUUUUGGGGGCCAUUCCUGGGAUUUGUUGGUACCA